rnacentral:rRNA from 1 species
UACGUAGGGGGCAAGCGUUGUCCGGAAUCAUUGGGCGUAAAGCGCGUGUAGGCGGCUUCGUAAGUCCGUUGUGAAAGUCCAGGGCUCAACCCUGGAAUGCCGAUGGAUACUGCGGAGCUAGAGUCCGGAAGAGGCGAGUGGAAUUCCUGGUGUAGCGGUGAAAUGCGCAGAUAUCAGGAGGAACACCAAUGGCGAAGGCAGCUCGCUGGGACGGUACUGACGCUGAGAAGCGAAAGCAUGGGGAGCGAACAGG